AGUGAACGCUGGCGGUAGGCCUAACACAUGCAAGUCGAACGGCAGCACAGUAAGAGCUUGCUCUUACGGGUGGCGAGUGGCGGACGGGUGAGGAAUACAUCGGAAUCUACUUUUUCGUGGGGGAUAACGUAGGGAAACUUACGCUAAUACCGCAUACGACCUACGGGUGAAAGCAGGGGAUCUUCGGACCUUGCGCGAUUGAAUGAGCCGAUGUCGGAUUAGCUAGUUGGCGGGGUAAAGGCCCACCAAGGCGACGAUCCGUAGCUGGUCUGAGAGGAUGAGCGGCCACACUGGAACUGAGACACGGUCCAGACUCCUACGGGAGGCAGCAGUGGGGAAUAUUGGACAAUGGGCGCAAGCCUGAUCCAGCCAUACCGCGUGGGUGAAGAAGGCCUUCGGGUUGUAAAGCCCUUUUGUUGGGAAAGAAAAGCAGCAGGUUAAUACCCCGCUGUUCUGACGGUACCCAAAGAAUAAGCACCGGCUAACUUCGUG
rnacentral:rRNA from 1 species